rnacentral:rRNA from 2 species
UUAAGCGACUAAGCGUACACGGUGGAUGCCCUGGCAGUCAGAGGCGAUGAAGGACGUGCUAAUCUGCGAUAAGCGUCGGUGAGGUGAUAUGAACCGUUAUAACCGGCGAUUUCCGAAUGGGGAAACCCAGUGUGUUUCGACACACUAUCAUUAACUGAAUCCAUAGGUUAAUGAGGCGAACCGGGGGAACUGAAACAUCUAAGUACCCCGAGGAAAAGAAAUCAACCGAGAUUCCCCCAGUAGCGGCGAGCGAACGGGGAGGAGCCCAGAGCCUGAAUCAGUGUGUGUGUUAGUGGAAGCGUCUGGAAAGGCGUGCGAUACAGGGUGACAGCCCCGUACACAAAAAUGCACAUAUUGUGAGCUCGAUGAGUAGGGCGGGACACGUGGUAUCCUGUCUGAAUAUGGGGGGACCAUCCUCCAAGGCUAAAUACUCCUGACUGACCGAUAGUGAACCAGUACCGUGAGGGAAAGGCGAAAAGAACCCCGGCGAGGGGAGUGAAAAAGAACCUGAAACCGUGUACGUACAAGCAGUGGGAGCCUCUUUUAUGGGGUGACUGCGUACCUUUUGUAUAAUGGGUCAGCGACUUAUAUUCUGUAGCAAGGUUAACCGAAUAGGGGAGCCGAAGGGAAACCGAGUCUUAACUGGGCGUUAAGUUGCAGGGUAUAGACCCGAAACCCGGUGAUCUAGCCAUGGGCAGGUUGAAGGUUGGGUAACACUAACUGGAGGACCGAACCGACUAAUGUUGAAAAAUUAGCGGAUGACUUGUGGCUGGGGGUGAAAGGCCAAUCAAACCGGGAGAUAGCUGGUUCUCCCCGAAAGCUAUUUAGGUAGCGCCUCGUGAAUUCAUCUCCGGGGGUAGAGCACUGUUUCGGCAAGGGGGUCAUCCCGACUUACCAACCCGAUGCAAACUGCGAAUACCGGAGAAUGUUAUCACGGGAGACACACGGCGGGUGCUAACGUCCGUCGUGAAGAGGGAAACAACCCAGACCGCCAGCUAAGGUCCCAAAGUCAUGGUUAAGUGGGAAACGAUGUGGGAAGGCCCAGACAGCCAGGAUGUUGGCUUAGAAGCAGCCAUCAUUUAAAGAAAGCGUAAUAGCUCACUGGUCGAGUCGGCCUGCGCGGAAGAUGUAACGGGGCUAAACCAUGCACCGAAGCUGCGGCAGCGACACUAUGUGUUGUUGGGUAGGGGAGCGUUCUGUAAGCCUGUGAAGGUGGCCUGUGAGGGUUGCUGGAGGUAUCAGAAGUGCGAAUGCUGACAUAAGUAACGAUAAAGCGGGUGAAAAGCCCGCUCGCCGGAAGACCAAGGGUUCCUGUCCAACGUUAAUCGGGGCAGGGUGAGUCGACCCCUAAGGCGAGGCCGAAAGGCGUAGUCGAUGGGAAACAGGUUAAUAUUCCUGUACUUGGUGUUACUGCGAAGGGGGGACGGAGAAGGCUAUGUUGGCCGGGCGACGGUUGUCCCGGUUUAAGCGUGUAGGCUGGUUUUCCAGGCAAAUCCGGAAAACCAAGGCUGAGGCGUGAUGACGAGGCACUACGGUGCUGAAGCGACAAAUGCCCUGCUUCCAGGAAAAGCCUCUAAGCAUCAGGUAACAUCAAAUCGUACCCCAAACCGACACAGGUGGUCAGGUAGAGAAUACCAAGGCGCUUGAGAGAACUCGGGUGAAGGAACUAGGCAAAAUGGUGCCGUAACUUCGGGAGAAGGCACGCUGAUAUGUAGGUGAAGCGACUUGCUCGUGGAGCUGAAAUCAGUCGAAGAUACCAGCUGGCUGCAACUGUUUAUUAAAAACACAGCACUGUGCAAACACGAAAGUGGACGUAUACGGUGUGACGCCUGCCCGGUGCCGGAAGGUUAAUUGAUGGGGUUAGCGGUAACGCGAAGCUCUUGAUCGAAGCCCCGGUAAACGGCGGCCGUAACUAUAACGGUCCUAAGGUAGCGAAAUUCCUUGUCGGGUAAGUUCCGACCUGCACGAAUGGCGUAAUGAUGGCCAGGCUGUCUCCACCCGAGACUCAGUGAAAUUGAACUCGCUGUGAAGAUGCAGUGUACCCGCGGCAAGACGGAAAGACCCCGUGAACCUUUACUAUAGCUUGACACUGAACAUUGAGCCUUGAUGUGUAGGAUAGGUGGGAGGCUUUGAAGUGUGGACGCCAGUCUGCAUGGAGCCGACCUUGAAAUACCACCCUUUAAUGUUUGAUGUUCUAACGUUGGCCCGUAAUCCGGGUUGCGGACAGUGUCUGGUGGGUAGUUUGACUGGGGCGGUCUCCUCCUAAAGAGUAACGGAGGAGCACGAAGGUUGGCUAAUCCUGGUCGGACAUCAGGAGGUUAGUGCAAUGGCAUAAGCCAGCUUGACUGCGAGCGUGACGGCGCGAGCAGGUGCGAAAGCAGGUCAUAGUGAUCCGGUGGUUCUGAAUGGAAGGGCCAUCGCUCAACGGAUAAAAGGUACUCCGGGGAUAACAGGCUGAUACCGCCCAAGAGUUCAUAUCGACGGCGGUGUUUGGCACCUCGAUGUCGGCUCAUCACAUCCUGGGGCUGAAGUAGGUCCCAAGGGUAUGGCUGUUCGCCAUUUAAAGUGGUACGCGAGCUGGGUUUAGAACGUCGUGAGACAGUUCGGUCCCUAUCUGCCGUGGGCGCUGGAGAACUGAGGGGGGCUGCUCCUAGUACGAGAGGACCGGAGUGGACGCAUCACUGGUGUUCGGGUUGUCAUGCCAAUGGCACUGCCCGGUAGCUAAAUGCGGAAGAGAUAAGUGCUGAAAGCAUCUAAGCACGAAACUUGCCCCGAGAUGAGUUCUCCCUGACUCCUUGAGGGUCCUGAAGGAACGUUGAAGACGACGACGUUGAUAGGCCGGGUGUGUAAGCGCAGCGAUGCGUUGAGCUAACCGGUACUAAUGAACCGUGAGGCUUAACCUU